AGAUGCCAGUGAACGAUAUGAGAGGUGGCGGCAGGAAGAUCAGAGGUGUAGGCAGGAUGAUCAGCGGUGGCGAGAUGCAACGCUGGAGAUGCUGCGUGAUCAAACUGAUAUCCUCCUCCGUCUGGUGGAUCUUCAGGAAGAGCAGCGGGGUCACAGAGUGCCGCU